rnacentral:lncRNA from 1 species
AAAUGUUUUAUUUCGUAAAAUAAUUAAUUUUACUUGAAAUAAUUCGUGUAUGUGACCAUCGUGUAUGUGAUCAUCGUGCACAAAUUGGAAAAAAAAAAUUAUUUUAUGUGAUCAUCGUGCACAAAUUGGAAAAAAAAAAAAAAAGAGAGAGAGAGAAAGGGAGAAAGAAAUAAGAGAAGAGAGCGUCGCUGUUCUUCCUCUCCGGUAACGGCGCGUCGUCGUCAGUACUGUGAGAGGCUUGUAAGAUAGUUUGUUGCUUUUGCUUCGGUUUCUUCCAUGAGCCCAGCGGUGUUUGUUUAGGUCAUCUUUGUGUUAAAGGAUGUUGCUAAGGAAUUUUCAGAUCGGAUCUCGUCGGCUUCUCUAUCGGUGGAUCUCUUCAAAUCAUGAGCUCGUCGUCUCGUCCUAGUCUCUUUGUAGUUGUGAGUAUCUCAAUAAUCGCAGCUCUUCCUCUUGGUUUCUCUUGUUGGUGGUGCUGCGAAGCCGGUUCUAAUGGUUGAGGGAGUGGUGUUGGUUCUCGAUGUGGCUUGUGGUCUGGUUCUGAUUCUUCUACAGUUAGUAAUUCAUUCCUUUGACUGUUCGUGGUGACCUGCGUUGUGGUUGGUUUAGGUUGUAGUAGUUGUUUAGGGUGCUUAGUUUGUUUCAAGUUAACGUCUUUAGUUAGUCUGUUAAGUAGAAUCUUGACCUUCAUUAGGGGGAGUCUCUUCAGAUGGUUUGAGUUUUGCUUCUGGGUUGUGUGGAUGCGGUUGGAGCGGUCCUUUCUUUUGGUUUGUGGUUGCAGAGAAGAUGUUUGUAAUUCCGGAUCUAAUAGAUCCACGGUGCGACUCGAGAAUAAUGUAUCUUUUUUGCUUGAUCCUUCCCUUGGUAUGUUACCGUUCAUGUGCAUCUCCUCGUCUUGAAGCCGUUAGUGUUGUGUGGCUGUGAUUGCAGAGAAGAUGUUUGUAAUUCCGGAUCUAAUAGAUCCACGGUGCGACUCGAGAAUAAUGUAUCUUUUUUGCUUGAUCCUUCCCUUGGUAUGUUACCGUUCAUGUGCAUCUCCUCGUCUUGAAGCCGUUAGUGUUGUGUGGCUGUGAUUGCGUUACCCGCCUAGCCUUUACCUUUCCACUCACCCAUGGUCUCCUCAUCCAUCCUUUGACUCUCAAAAGGCUUGUUCCCUUUCUAAGCAUAGGCUUCGUUUUGUUUGAAGAAUGUGUUAGUCUUGUUUGUGAGCAGUUCGUAUCUUCUCAUGGUUGUUGCUCGCUGUGGUUGCUAGCUUUCUCGUUCAAUCGGCGAGAUGUUAGGCCUCUCUCCUUGUCUAUGCUUUGCAGAUCUUGUUUGGUCUGAUUGCGUUUUAAAGGCUUUUGUCUAGACGGUUUUGGACGGUGUAGUCGUCAUCGUCGCAUCCGAAAGCGUAUUCGAGUCUUGCUUGCCGGGUUAUGAAGUCUUUGGUUCUUGUGUCGAGAGAUCGUCUCUCAUCUUGAUAGGACGUGGUUGAUGUUAUUUUUGGAUUGGCCGUGGACAUCCUUCAUAAAUCUCUUCUUCAGGAGCUUCAGUAGAAGAUUUCUGCUUCUUAAGCUAAUGUGUUCUCUUAGGAUUAAGCCUAGUUGUCUAUGUCUUUUGUUUACGGGUUCGUCUUUUUCGGGUUCUGCUUUGUGUUGCUAUCUUUUGUUUUCGCUUUAUGUUUUUUGGGGAUUUCUAAUCGUUCAUCGUCUUUGUUUCCCUUGUUUGGGCUUUAGACUCCAGGGAUAUCUUCGUUUUCCGCUGGCUUAAGUUGUAUUCCACAAUGUAUCCUUCGAGUUUUAUUAAUACUACCAGGUGACAAAAAAAAAAAAAAAUCGUGUAUGUGAUAUAUUGUUUAGUUGUUCUUUAAAAAAAACAGAAACAUACGAAUCUAAUCCAUUUAACUUUAGAGAAUAUAUACAAACUUACAAUAAAUCUUAAUAAUAUUUUAUAAUAAAACUUACUCUUCUUAUUAUACAUUGUGUUUUAUUUGUUUAAAAAAAAAAAAAAAAUUGAAGACAUGUUUUGUUUCUUUACUAGUUACAUAAUAUUCUAAUCAUGUUUCUAUCUCUCCUCUGCCCUCAUGAUUUCUUGCUUGUAUUAUUUAGCUGUGUGACUCUCCAAAUCAUCGAAGCUUUAAGGCUUAACAGAUAUGAACAAGUACCAAACUGAAAGUAGAUAGAGAAAUUACACUCUUAUUUAAAGCAGCUAGAAACCAUACAUGAAGAUGCAGUUCCAGAACAGUUUGCUGUGAAGAUCAAGAAGCUGCAUCUGUUUAGCCGCCUGAGACCAUAUCAGACGCCUGGGAUCACAUCAGACACUUGAAGUUGCUGACAUGGAAUCGUGAGAUGAUGUGGCGAAACUUAAGUGGAUGUGGUGAUGUGCUAAGGAUGAUUUCUUGCUUGGCAGCAAAGAUAGAGACGAAGUUUGUGUGAAGAUUAUGUGAAUAUUCUUCACGUCAAAUAAGGAAAGGAUGAGCUUGACAAGCAAGCAUAUUUCGAUUGUGUGAGAUUCUCGAAGAUCCUAGGGUUAGGAUUUUGGAUAGUUAGUAUAAAUAGUCUAGGAUUGGCCACGAGCCACUUUGAAAACUUUAGACUCUUUGUGCGGAUUGUAAACUUCGAAUCUAGCAAAAUCAAAAGCUUAGAAGGUGAGUGUUUGUUUCUCUUAGUACUACACGGGUGUAGAGGAGAUAGGCUUAGUUCUUGUUCUUUAGUCGGGUUUAAUCCUAUUGGUAGGAAUAGGUUGAGUAAGAGCCGAGACAAAAUUUGUUUCCUAGGAAAAGAUAAAUUUUAUUAAUAAAGAUCGAAAGGAAAAGUGUUUGCUUGGCGCGUUCCAAGCGUACUUGUUUUGUUUGUGUUGUGUCUCUAUACAUUUUCAAUACAGUCCACAGAACAUGCUAUGAUGUUGCCUCUCUUAAAUAUUAUCCUUUGACAACGUUUCUUGCAAGAAACGCAGAAUGGUCGAGAGAUGUUACAUUUGCUAAGAAUUUGAAUAUACCCUCAAUAGUCGAAAUAUUGACCGGGCUUCAUAUAUGGGUCUUCUCCGAGUACGCAUUCAAUAUGAAAAGUGGUGAAGCAGUUAUCACAUCCGUAGAACACUUUUGUGCUUGUUUCGACACUCGUAGACAAAGCCACCACAAUUACGAUGACAAGCAUUGCAUGUGAAAGAAAUGAUCCUAUAUUCACUAAAGUCUUUCAAUGUAAGUGUAUGAGGAUGUAAUCCAUGUUGAAUUCUACGUGGAGCCUUAGCACAUCUUUCAUGGAGGAUGAACUCACACUCUAUACAAGAAUAGAAAUUACCUUCAUAUAUAGGAAGGAUGCAUGCUUGACAAAACCUAUUUUCGUCAUAAAGUAGGUCGACUUCGAGUCGAAGAUGAUGGUCAUGAAGAAAAUAAAGUAUCACUCCUUCUGAUAUCACACUGAACGGCCCAAGAUCUUUUGUUAUAUCAUCAUCUUCUGGUACACCCUCGAGUUCCUUUCCAUCCCACACAUCCUUCCCAGUAGCACAUAUUGGAUGGACAACAUAGUCAUUACACUUGCCGCAAAUAUAUGCACCAUAAUCACCGUUUAUAUUUCGACAAACUCCACAAGACUGUUCUCUUGAUGGAAGAGAAGGAAGGUAGGAGAUACGAUGUUGGUGACGUGAUAUCUUGAUGAUGUGUGAAAAAUUCAUACAGUCAAUAUGAGCUACAAAGUUGUAUCUGAUACAAAUGUAGGUGGGAUAAUUUUUUCUCAAUAAGCCACAAACAUUACAAGUUAAGGAAGUUUGUCUCGGGAAAAAUGUGAGAGGAUGGACAUAUUUUUUUGGUUGGUCUAUAACAAAGGGUAUUGGUUUCAUCGCACAUGUUGGAUGCAUAAAAGCCUGACAUAUGGUACAAUAAUAAACCAUAAAGUUUGCCCUUUUUCCGCAACAUAAACACUCAAUAUAGCGAGCUUGAGGGUUAUGAAAAGAAAGUUGGAGAGAGUGCUCAGGAUGAUAAGGAUGUUUGAUUUUAAGUGGAGACUGAACGCAUUCUUUAUGGAAAUUUUGAUCACAGUAUUCGCAAAAGUAAUAGUCUGUGCCAAAAUUUGAACCAUAGCAUAUGUAGCACCCACCAUUGGCGUCGAAUUCUUUAUUAUUGCACCAAAACAAAGGCUUUACAUGAUGAUCUUUAGAAUUCGUUGUUGUAGGAAAAAUGUACUCUGGAG